rnacentral:rRNA from 1 species
GACGAACGCUGGCGGCGUGCUUAACACAUGCAAGUCGAACGGAAAGGCCCUGCUUUUGUGGGGUGCUCGAGUGGCGAACGGGUGAGUAACACGUGAGUAACCUGCCCUUGACUUUGGGAUAACUUCAGGAAACUGGGGCUAAUACCGGAUAGGAGCUCCUGCUGCAUGGUGGGGGUUGGAAAGUUUCGGCGGUUGGGGAUGGACUCGCGGCUUAUCAGCUUGUUGGUGGGGUAGUGGCUUACCAAGGCUUUGACGGGUAGCCGGCCUGAGAGGGUGACCGGCCACAUUGGGACUGAGAUACGGCCGAGACUCCUACGGGAGGCAGCAGUAGGGAAUAUUACACAAUGGGCGGAAGCCUGAUGCAGCAACGCCGCGUGCGGGAUGACGGCCUUCGGGUUGUAAACCGCUUUCGCCUGUGACGAAGCGUGAGUGACGGUAAUGGGUAAAGAAGCACCGGCUAACUACGUG